rnacentral:rRNA from 1 species
AGGAUAAACGCUGGCGGCGUGCAUGAGACAUGCAAGUCGAACGGACACUCGGGGCUUGCUCUGAGUGUUAGUGGCGGACGGCUGAGUAACGCGUAGGUGACCUGCCCCGAAGUGGGGAAUAACUGCCCGAAAGGGUGGCUAAUACCGCAUGUGGUGGAACGUUCAUUCGUUCCAGUAAAGCCGCAAGGCGCUUCGGGAGGGGCCUGCGUCCGAUUAGCUCGUUGGUGGGGUAACGGCUCACCAAGGCGACGAUCGGUAGGUGGUCUGAGAGGACGAUCACCCAGACUGGGACUGAGACACGGCCCAGACUCCUACGGGAGGCAGCAGUCGGGAAUUUUGCGCAAUGGACGAAAGUCUGACGCAGCAACGCCGCGUGAGGGAUGACGGCCUUCGGGUUGUAAACCUCUUUAUCAGGGACGAUAAUGACGGUACCUGAUGAAUAAGUCACGGCUAACUACGUGCCAGCAGCCGC